GAGCAGAGGCCGGAGUUGGAGAGGAAGCUGCUCUCGUAAGCCUGGUUCUGCAGGGCGGCCGGGAUCUCGCCGGAGAGAUGGUUGCCUGAGAGGUUGAGGAAGUUGAGCUUGAGAUUGCCCAGCUCCUUGGGUAUCUCGCCGGAGAGCCGGUUCUCCGAGAGAUCCAGGGAUGUCAGGACCGGCAGAGAACCAAUUUCUCCGGGGAUCUCGCCGGAAAGCUGGUUGGACCUCAGAAUGAGACUGGUAAGGGAUCGCAGGGCCUUGAUCUCUGCAGGGAUCUUCCCGGAGAUCCGGUUUCCCUCAAGACGGAGCUCCUGCAGGAGGGGCAUCCCGAUGAGGUUGGGGGUGAUCUCCCCGGAGAAGAAGUUAUUGCUCGCCCUGAACACCAGCAGCCCCGGCGCCGACGAGGGGAUCUCGCCGGAGAACCUGUUGUUCUCGAUCUCCAGCCUUGAGAGCGACGGCGGCAGCCCCCCCGGCAACUCCCCGGAGAACAUGUUCCCCCUCAUGAUCACCGUGGAGAGGUUCUUCAGAGACCAAAUCCCAUGGGGUACCUCGCCGGAGAAGGAGUUGUCGGAGAGCCCCAGAGCCUGCAGCGGCGGGCAAUUCCCCAGAGACUCCGGCAGUCCUCCGGUGAAGUUGUUCUCAUACACAAUCAGAGCUUUCAGCGCCC
rnacentral:lncRNA from 1 species